ACGAUUUUCUCCCAAACUUUUCUAACUUUUCUCUCAAAUUCAAUCUCCAAACUCAAGAGUUCUAUAUGGCUUCAAAAUUCAGCUCCAUUCCGUUCAAAUUUGCUUUGAAGUCGAGAUUCCAUCAUCAAGAUUAAAUGAAAAAAGGACGUGUGUCAAAGACAGGUGAAAGAGGAAGAGAUAAAUCUCCUUCUAAAAGAUCUAGCAAAAGAAUUAAGAUAUCUCAAGAGGAUGAUCUACAAAAAUCAAUUGUAGCUGAAGUGGAAGCCAAACCUCUUCAGGUAGUAGAAGGAGGGAAUGCUGGAGAAGAAGAAAAAGAGAACGAAAAUGAAGAGAAAAUUGAGAAAGAAAAUAAAGAGGAAACAGAGAAUGUACUAGGAGGGAAUGCAAGAGAAGCAAAAACAGAGAAAGAAAAAGAAGAGGAAACAUAAAAGGAAGAAGAAGAGGAAACAAGGAAAGUAAGAGAAGAAAAGACAAAUAUUGAUGGAGAAGAAUCAAAAGAGGAGACAACAAUUGAUGAAAGAGAAGAUGAGACAUAUAUUGAUGAUGAAGCAUCAGUAGGAAAUACCGAAGGAGAAGCUUCAAGAGAAGAAGAAGAAGAAGAAGAAGAAGAAGAGGCAGCGGCAAAAAGAAGAAAAAAGAGAAAGAAUGGCAAUGCACAUUCUCAAUCUGUCGAGGCUUGGGCAUUUGAAGUCAUACCUCAAUUGCGGCUAAAAGACUAUCCAAAAGAGAGGACAUUGCCGAGGAUGAGGAGGUGGAUAUUUGAAAAUAUAGAAAAAGACAUGCCUGAUCCAUUUUAAAUCAAAGAUCGUCCGGUAAGGCUCAUUCUGAUAGAUGUUUAAUGUUUGAAAGAUAUUUCAAACAUUAGAUAUUUGAAACAUCUCCAUAGGAUGUUUGAAGCAAGUAUAGGAUGUGUGAAACAUCCACAUGAUGUUUCAAACAUCUUUCAAAAAUUAUC